GUUGUCCAGGUAAUGAAUCUUAGUUCAGCUUUAAAGAUACCAAAAAUUCAAAUAAAUCUCACUGUAACUUUAAAAGUUAAUCUAAAAAGGUACAGCCUUUUAGAAACGGAUACAACCUUGACUAGAGAGUAAAAUAUAACACUACCAUAGUAGGCCCAAAAGCAGCCACCAAUUGAGAAAGCGUUAAAGCUCAACAACAAAAAUUAAACAGAUCCCAAUAACAAGUAAUUAACUCCUAGCCCCAAUACUGGACUAAUCUAUUAUUGAAUAGAAGUAAUAAUGUUAGUAUGAGUAACAAGAAAAACUUUCUCCUUGCAUAAGUCUAAGUCAGUAUCUGAUAAUACUCUGACCAUUAACAGCUAAUAAAAAUAACCCAACAAUAAACAAUUUAUUAACUAUACUGUUAAUCCAACACAGGAGUGCAUCUAAGGAAAGAUUAAAAGAAGUAAAAGGAACUCGGCAAACACAAACCCCGCCUGUUUACCAAAAACAUCACCUCCAGCAUCCCUAGUAUUGGAGGCACUGCCUGCCCAGUGACAACUGUUUAACGGCCGCGGUAUCCUG
rnacentral:rRNA from 1 species